UACGUAGGGUGCAAGCGUUAAUCGGAAUUACUGGGCGUAAAGCGUGCGCAGGCGGUAAUGUAAGACAGUUGUGAAAUCCCCGGGCUCAACCUGGGAACUGCAUUUGUGACUGCAUUGCUGGAGUACGGCAGAGGGGGAUGGAAUUCCGCGUGUAGCAGUGAAAUGCGUAGAUAUGCGGAGGAACACCGAUGGCGAAGGCAAUCCCCUGGGCCUGUACUGACGCUCAUGCACGAAAGCGUGGGGAGCAAACAGG
rnacentral:rRNA from 1 species